AAUCUUCCGCAAUGGACGAAAGUCUGACGGAGCAACGCCGCGUGAGUGAUGAAGGGUUNCGGCUCNUNAAACUCUGUUGUUAAGGNAGAAUACUUGAGGUAGUAACUGGCCUUGAGAUGACGGUACUUAACCAGAAAGCCACGGCUAACUACGUGCCAGCAGCCGCGGUAAUACGUAGGUGGCAAGCGUUAUCCGGAAUUAUUGGGCGUAAAGCGCGCGUAGGCGGUAAAAUAAGUCUGAUGUGAAAGCCCCCGGCUCAACCGGGGAGGGUCAUUGGAAACUGUUUUACUUGAGUACAGAAGAGGAGAGUGGAAUUCCAUGUGUAGCGGUGAAAUGCGCAGAGAUAUGGAGGAACACCAGUGGCGAAGGCGGCCACCUGGGCUAAUACUGACACUGAGGUUCGAAAGCGUGGGUAGCAAAC
rnacentral:rRNA from 1 species